CGACCUCCACCAGCCCGGGUUUGUAAUCGGAGUUUGCUCUCCUAGGUGAACUGCUCACGCUAACGAGCUCCACCCGCCCGGGUUUGUUGUUCGGAGUUGUCCCUCUCCUAGGUGAAUUGCCUACCACGGCUAACGACCUCCACCCGCCCGGGUUUGUUGUUCGGAGUUGUCCCUCUCCUAGGUGAAUUGCCUACCACGGCUAACGACCUCCACCCGCCCGGGUUUGUUGUUCGGAGUUGUCCCUCUCCUAGGUGAAUUGCCUACCACGGCUAACGACCUCCACCCGCCCGGGUUUGUUGUUCGGAGUUGUCCCUCUCCUAGGUGAAUUGCCUACCACGGCUAACGAGCUCCACCUGCCCGGGUUUGUGAUCAGAGUUGUCCUUCUCCUAGGUGAACUGCCUUACGCUAACGAGCUCCACCUGCCCGGGUUUGUUGUUCGGAGUUUGCUCUCCUAGGUGAAUUACCUUACGCUAACGAGCUCCACCUGCCCGGGUUUGUUGUUCGGAGUUUGCUCUCCUAGGUGAAUUGCCUUACGCUAACGAGCUCCACCUGCCCGGGUUUGUUGUUCGGAGUUUGCUCUCCUAGGUGAAUUGCCUUACGCUAACGAGCUCCACCUGCCCGGGUUUGUUGUUCGGAGUUUGCUCUCCUAGGUGAAUUGCCUUACGCUAACGAGCUCCACCUGCCCGGGUUUGUUGUUCGGAGUUUGCUCUCCUAGGUGAACUGCCUUACGCUAACGAGCUCCACCUGCCCGGGUUUGUUGUUCGGAGUUUGCUCUCCUAGGUGAACUGCCUUACGCUAACGAGCUCCACCUGCCCGGGUUUGUUGUUCGGAGUUUGCUCUCCUAGGUGAAUUGCCUUACGCUAACGAGCUCCACCUGCCCGGGUUUGUUGUUCGGAGUUUGCUCUCCUAGGUGAAUUGCCUACCACGGCUAACGAGCCCCACCUACCCGGGCACAUCUCCGGCACCUCCACGGACGCCCCGGGGGACACCAAAGCGACCUUCGGGGAGCCCUUCAGUACUGCCACGCUCGCCAGGGAGACCUUGGGCUCGCUGGCGCUCCUUAGCCCCGCCGAGGCGAGGAUGGCGAAUGUAAGAACUCGCUUCUUAAAACUUCCAGAGUGGAUUAUGAAAUUAAUCAUAAACACUGUGAAUGCGCUGCUCACCGCGUUUAUCG